ACGGUAGCUGUUUUGUUGCUCACGGGUUGUGAAAAAGUUGAUUUGGCGGAGUGUAUGUGAAUAAGUGUAUUUACCAAAGCAGUAGUAAAACAACCGUCGCGUAUAUCAGUCGAUCCGUUUGCCAAAGAUCUGAAUUUCCUCGCUUUGGAAGGUCAUACUCGUGCGAUAGUGUCGUCGUCGUGUCGGUCGAUGGAGCAUAAAUAAUUUCAGCCUGCGAAGGCUACCCAUUGUGGCGAAGGUGAAGAAUGUGCUGGGCAAGUGACGACCAGCCGUGAUCAAAUGGCGAAUUACUUGCACGUUUCAGUAGCGGUUGCAGAUUGAGUGGGCGAGAGGUGAGGAAAGAAGUACAGCGAAGCAUUGGCGGCACGAAAGUGAGACGUGAGAUAAGUAAAGUUGGGUUAAGCCGUCGAAAGUGAAAGAGUGAAAAGUGAGCGAAGAAAUGGAACAUCCGAAAGCGAAGAUCAGUAAGCAAAAGGUGAAAAGUGAGCGAAGAAAUGGAACAUCCGAAAGCGAAGAUAUGGGGGAUCAGUAAGAAAAAGUGGAGCAUCUGCGAGCGAAGAGUUUGAGCAUCAGUGAGCGAAGAUAAUCCAGCAGUGAGCGAGGAAAGUGGGCAUCAGAAGCGGAAAGGUUGAUUAUCAGUGAGCGAAAGGCUAGGUCAUCUAUGAAUCAGUGAUCGGAGAAGGUAGUGAGUGAAGAAAUAGAUUAUCAGAAAGCGAAGCUAUGGGGGAUCAGUAAUCGAAAAGGUGAAGCAUCUGCGAGCGAAGAGUUUGAUUAUUAGUGAGCAGAGAUAAUCAAUCAGUGAGCGAGAAAAUUUGGCAUCAGAAGCGGAAAGGUUGAUAAUCAGUAAGCGCAAAGCUAGAUCAUCUGUGAAUCAGUGAAAAAGAAAUUGAGCAUCAUGAAGUGAAGAGAUCAGGUGCUAGUAAGCGGCGAGUUUUACCAUCAGAGAGCGAAGCUUAGUGAAAGAGAAUGCAUCACUGAGAGAAGAGAAUAUCCGAAAUUGUGAAUACGGUGAGCGCGGAAUAAUCUUGUUAUGUAGUAACGGUGGUAAACAUCACAGUUUGAGGAGAUCGGUCAGCGGUGAGCAGGUCUGGCGAUGUAUCUGUAUUGGAGCUGAUAUAUCAACGCUAGGGCGUCGUUGAAUAAAGCACUGUUAAUGCUGUCAGCCUGGUAACUACUAUGACCAGUAAGCAUUUGGGAAUUAAAAUUCCUCGCCGUGAUACAUCGCGUUGAUGCGCGUUUGCUUAUUGCUUGUGCGUGUAGUACCUCUCAUAAUCCUCUUUCGGUCUGUUCUGUUGAUACUGAGAGAAGAAGAUGCCCAGGGAAAAAAGGACUGAGACGAAAAGAAACAGGAAAACCAGAACGAAGAUUGGAGACAGAAAAGCGGGCGACUGGGGAUGUGUGGAGAGCGUGCAUGACGCGGAGCUGGAGAGGAGAAUUGCCGUGGAAGACAAUAACCAACAACGACAAGUGUUCAGAGAAAAGUAGCGAAAGUUUAAAGACUGUUUCAGACAUUAUAAGACACAUUCUACCGUGACGUUACAACGUUUUGUCGCUUCAGAGGCUCUCUUAACGGUACAAUAACGGCAUCGGCUACGUCCUUGCAGUACGGUUGGAAGAGGGAAGGAAUAUUUGUAACAAUCUUUGUUGUGAAAGACCGCGUUUGUCGCUGCGACUCUACCAAAGGCUGCAGGAAGGAAUGAUUGUUAGCCGGGAAGGUAUCGUUGUGUCUGUAUUCACUUUGAUAAGUAAUAUGAUCUUUUGAAGUUGAAGCAUUCCGUGCAGACUGCAGUGCACAGUGGCUGAUUUCGCCAUUUUAGCGCGCUUAAUUAAUAACUUUUUCACUAUGAAGUUUAGCGUCAUGGUGUCUUCGGGAAAGUUUUUCACUAUAAUAAGGAGCUUCUUUUGAGCUUCUGUGAAAAAUGAUCCAUCCCCCCAAAAGUGAGAUAGAAAAUUUAUUUUUUGAAUUUUUCAAGAUUCGAGGUUGGCGUCUUCACAAAAGUUGUAGAAAAUGUAGUUUGAAGCAACUUUGCCGAAGACACCAAGUUUGUUACUCCGUUACUUUUCAAGAUACGUUACGUUUUCUUUCAUCAGCCCCUUGAAAAAGGUUUUUGCGCAAUAACUUUCUAAAUAUUGAUUCUACAUUUAUUUCAUAUUCUACAAAGUUAUAGAUAAUGGAAAAACACACAACUUUUUCGAAUAUGACAUCUCGCUAAUUCCAAAAUUAAAAUAGUUGUAACGGUUUUUAUAGUUUUUUGGGCCAUAUUUCAAGCAUAUAUAACUUAGCUAUAGGCAAUUAUAUGCAAAUUUCCUUUUACGCAUGUGAAAGUACAUGUAAUUGCCUCUAUUAGAAAGCCAAAAUCAUCAAACUGUAAGAAACUGUAAGAUGGUUUUUGUAUAGAAACUUACAUCCAUUUAUGUUACUCUUAUAUGGGAUUUAUAUAUAUGUUCAACAUAUUUAGUUGACAUUUCAUGUCAGCUUGCAUUUUUAUUAUUAUUGUAAGUGUGUGUUAAUAUAAAGAAAGGUUUGUUGUGUUUUCUGGAUUAUUCAUGAAAUACGUUACACAAAAACUCACCAACUACUUCUAUUUUCUUACUAACGCGCAAUGCUUCACGUAGUCCACGAAAGCAACGCAUAAAGUGAAACUUCUUUCGUCGGAUCACGAUUUAACAGCAGCCUUACUUUGAAGUGCAAUAAGAUUUAUAAUUUACUAUAACCAAUGUAGUCAUAGAUAUGUACUAGUGAGAGCGUUGACAGAAUAUGUCACGCACAUGUUUGGAAUUUUUUAAGAAAUGGCGCUUCCUUCGCUUUUUUCGUGGACAUCUGGAGCACUUGAGUUAGUAAGACAAAAGAAUUAGAUGGUAAGUUUUUAUGUAACGUACUUCACGAAUGAUCCAAAAUGCACCACAAACCUUUCUUUAUAUUAACACACACUUACAAUAACAAAAAAAAUGCAAGCUGACAUGAAAUGUCAACUAAAUAUGUUGAACAUAUAUAUAAAUCCCAUAUAAGAGUAACAUAAAUGGAUGUAAGUUUCUAUACAAAAACCAUCUUACAGUUUCUUACAGUUUGAUGAUUUUGGCUUUCUAAUAGAGGCAAUUACAUGUACUUUCACAUGCGUAAAAGGAAAUUUGCAUAUAAUUGCCUAUAGCUAAGUUAUAUAUGCUUGAAAUAUGGCCCAAAAAACUAUAAAAACCGUUAUAACUAUUUUAAUUUUGGAAUUAGCGAGAUGUCAUAUUCGAAAAAGUUGUGUGUUUUCCAUUAUCUAUAACUUUGUAGAACAUGAGAUAAAUGUAGAAUCAAUAUUUAGAAAGUUAUUGCGCAAAAACCUUUUUCAAGGGGCUGAUGAAAGAAAACGUAACGUAUCUUGAAAAGUAACGGAGUAACAAACUUGGUGUCUUCGGCAAAGUUGCUCCAAACUACAUUUUCUACAACUUUUGUGAAGACACCAACCUCGUAUCUUGAAAAAUUCAAAACAUAAUUUUUUUAUCUCACUUUUAGGGGGAUUGAUCAUUUUUCACAGAAGCUCAAAAGAAGCUCCUUAUUAUAGUGAAAAACUUUCCCGAAGACACCAUGACGCUAAACUUCAUAGUAAAAAAGUUAUUAAUUAAGCGCGCUAAAAUGACGAAAUCAGCCACUGUGCAGUGAUGUGGUUCGCUUCACACGGAAAGCAAACAAUCGACCACCCGCGUAAUGUGAUCGCUCAAUAUUUAUUCAUUAAAUCGCAUGCAACAAAUAUACACAGAUAGAUACAUAGAAAACAGUAUGUCGUUAGGACAUUGCACAAAAAAGUGAAAUUCAAUUAACAGCAGCGAUAAUUUGUAAGAUGCCAUUCCGAACAGUGACAAAAUGGAACAAAAAUCCAAGUCGACACUCAUGGUAACAAACUAUACAAAGUCAAUGAAAAACUAUUUAAAAAGAGGACAUUAUUAACAUAUGAAUACAAAAUAUCACCUAUGAUAUAAAACUCAAUUAAUAUAAUAAUUGAGAUAGAAUCCAUAGAAAAAGAAUAACAAGGAACAAACUCACCGGAUAAUUGCCUGCCAUCAAUCGAACUAAAAUUGCGAAUGAAAAAAAAAUCGAGGUACCGAAGGCAAAGCGCGCGCAAAUCCGGCCUCCAGCUGCCAAGCCACCACUAGACACUUUCUUUACGGUCGUAUCUAUGCGUAAUAGUGGAAAAUCUGGCCGAAAAGGCGUCAAAACAUUGUAACGUCACGGUAGAAUGUGUCAUAAAUACAUUUUGUUCAUUUUAUUCAUUUAUUUUGUAAGUACAUAUUUCUUUCACAAUACAGUUUAUUGUGUUCCGUAUUUUUACAUUAAAUUAUGAUAUUUUGAAGAACAGUUUUCUAAUGAUUUA